AUAGAGUACUGUGAAUCAUCGAAUCUUUGAACGCAUCUUGCACUUUUCAGGUCUCCUGAAAAGUAUACUUGUUUGAGUAUCAUAAACACACUCUCCAAGCUUGUCUUGGGAAUUGAGACGUCAAGUUAGUCUGCUAACCUGUGUCUUUUAAUGGAUAUGUCCAGUGUUCUGGCGCAGGCAGCAAUGCUUGCGUUUAGAAGCCUCCCAAUCAAAUGUGAGAUAAACAUCGCACAAAGUAGUUGUCGGGGUCAAGCUAGACUACGCUCAGAGACGCAAGUCUCAACUCUGAUCUGUGAUCUCAAAUCAAGUAAGACUACCCGCUGAACUUAAGCAUAUCAAUAAGCGGAGG
rnacentral:rRNA from 1 species